UACAGAGGGUGCAAGCGUUAUUCGGAAUCACUGGGCGUACAGCGUAUGUAGGUGGGUAGGAAAGUCAGUUGUGAAAUCCCGGAGCUUAACUUCGGAAUUGCAAAUGAAACUUCCUAUCUUGAGAUUGGGAGAGGAUGGUAGAAUUCUUGGUGUAGAGGUGAAAUUCGUAGAUAUCAAGAGGAAUACCGGAGGCGAAGGCGGCCAUCUGGCCCAAUACUGACGCUGAGAUACGAGAGCGUGGGUAG
rnacentral:rRNA from 1 species